CUUUGGUGUUCAUACAGGAAGCAUCAGCUGCCUGUGCUGUUUGAACACUGAACAUGUGGUUUCUCAAGUUUGUCACAUUAAGUUGUAUCCUUUAUGCACUAACAAGAAAUUCAGAUGCUGUUUCUUGCGGAAAAGGCCAAAUGCUAUAUGGCGGAACAUGUGUUCCUUGCCCAAAUGGUUUCUACCAACCUGAGAAAACCACGUCCCAGUCUUGUGAAGCGUGUCGAAAAUGUCAUGAAAGCAAGGGGAGUUCUAUUUUGAGAAACUGCACAUCAGAAGAAAACACCAUAUGCAAAUGUAAAAGCAAUUUUGUUGCCCAAGAAGAUGACUCAUCCACUUGUAAAUGUCGCCCUGAGUUUACUCAACAAAGUAAUGAGUGUGUGAAAAAGAAAAAAAAAAAACCAAAUAUCAACUACAGCAACUAUACAUGACCUGACCACUGUGGCCUCCCUAUGGACACAAGGGGGGGCUACAACUCAAGAACCUACUAUAACCAAUAUCACUACCACCACUGAUCAUAAGGGGCUUCCAGUCACAACUAAAGAAAGGACGAGUGAUUCACAAUUCUCCAGGAUUGGUGUGGGCCUUGUGUUUGUGAUUGUUGCAAUACUGAUACUGACAGCUUUAAUCAGCAAACACAUUAUAUUAUCACGCCUAAAGAGGAGACCAGAGCAACCAAGAGAUAACUCGUUUCGAAUCCCAGUGGAGGAAAGUGGAGACGGCAGCCAUGACUCUCUGAAACAAAACCAAGAGGAACCGUGAAAGGAACAGAACAAAAACUCUUUAAGUCUUGAACAGUGUCAGACAAACACACUUUUAGUUAGCCUUAAUAAAGCAUGAACAAAGACUUAAUCCAUACUGAAUAAAUAGUUUUUAAAGAAUGAUCCAGGCUUAGUAACUAAUACCUCAACCAUAACUCCUGACCUCUUAAUUAAGCUUAAAUCAUUGUUAAUAAACUACAUUCUUUAAAUCUUUGUUCAUGAGUUUUUAAGGUUAAUUAAGGUGUAGUUAUUAUGGAGCGGUAUCAAGAGUUAUAUUGACCUUUGUUUGAUUGGACAUCUUGAGUGAAUCCUUCUGUGUUUUGAUAGAGAGCCAGCAUUGUAACCUACCAACAAAAUUUUAUGAACUGUGAAAUUUUUAUGCUGUUUUAUUUUUGGGAAAAUUGUAUGUUUUAUUUUAUAUUUUAUGUCAUAUUUACUUAUCUUUAAGAAAUGUUAUGCAUUUGUGAUGGCAUGUUUCUGUCUUGCUGCUUUUUCUAAAUUUUGAUACCAGGGCAAGUGACAUUUUACUGAGAAUUAAACCUUUACUUAUAUUAUGCUGAUAUUGAUGUUCUUGCCUUGGGGGUGGCCUGACUGUGAACAAAACUUCUAUAUUUGAUUGUUGUUCAGGGACUUCCCUUUUAAACAAAUAUUCCUUCACUCA